rnacentral:rRNA from 1 species
GCAGUCGAACGAGCUCUCCCAAAUUGAUUUUAUGCUUGCAUAAAUGAUUUUUGGAUUCGGAGCGAGUGGCGAACUGGUGAGUAACACGUGGGUAACCUGCCCCGAAGCGGGGGAUAACAUUUGGAAACAAGUGCUAAUACCGCAUAAUUAGUUGGAACCGCAUGGUUCCAACUUGAAAGAUGGCUCUGCUAUCACUUUGGGAUGGACCCGCGCCGUAUUAGUUAGUUGGUGAGAUAAAAGCCCACCAAGACGAUGAUACGUAGCCGACCUGAGAGGGUAAUCGGCCACAUUGGGACUGAGACACGGCCCAGACUCCUACGGGAGGCAGCAGUAGGGAAUCUUCCACAAUGGACGAAAGUCUGAUGGAGCAACGCCGCGUGAGUGAUGAAGGUUUUCGGAUCGUAAAACUCUGUUGUUAAAGAAGAACAAGUGUUAGAGUAACUGUUAACACUUUGACGGUAUUUAACCAGAAAGCCACGGCUAACUACGUGCCAGCAGCCGCGGUAAUACGUAGGUGGCAAGCGUUGUCCGGAUUUAUUGGGCGUAAAGCGAGCGCAGGCGGUUUUGUAAGUCUGCUGUGAAAGCCCUCAGCUCAACUGAGGAAGUGCAGUGGAAACUACAAAACUUGAGUACAGAAGAGGAAAGUGGAACUCCAUGUGUAGCGGUGAAAUGCGUAGAUAUAUGGAAGAACACCAGUGGCGAAGGCGGCUUUCUGGUCUGUUACUGACGCUGAGGCUCGAAAGCAUGGGUAGCGAACAGGAUUAGAUACCCUGGUAGUCCAUGCCGUAAACGAUGAAUACUAGGUGGUUGAAGGGUUUCCGCCCUUCAGUGCCGCAGCUAACGCAUUAAGUAUUCCGCCUGGGGAGUACGACCGCAAGGUUGAAACUCAAAGGAAUUGACGGGGGCCCGCACAAGUGGUGGAGCAUGUGGUUUAAUUCGAUGCUACGCGAAGAACCUUACC